UACGGAGGGUGCAAGCGUUAUCCGGAAUUACUGGGUUUAAAGGGUGCGUAGGCGGAACUAUAAGUCAGAGGUGAAAUCACACAGCUCAACUGUGUAACUGCCUUUGAUACUGUAGAUCUUGAAUUAGGUUGAGGUUAGCGGAAUGUGACAUGUAGCGGUGAAAUGCAUAGAUAUGUCAUAGAACACCAAUUGCGAAGGCAGCUGGCUAGGCCUAUAUUGACGCUGAGGCACGAAAGCGUGGGGAGCGAACAGG
rnacentral:rRNA from 1 species